rnacentral:rRNA from 1 species
AAGGUACCCGAAGAGUUUGAUCCUGGCUCAGAAAGUCGUAACAAGGUAUCCGUAGAGUUUGAUCAUGGCAAGAAGUCGUAACAAGGUAACCGUAGAGUUUGAUCCUGGCUCAGUAAGUCGUAACAAGGUAACCGUAGAGUUUGAUCAUGGCGAAGUCGUAACAAGGUAUCCGUAGAGUUUGAUCCUGGCUCAGUAAGUCGUAACAAGGUAUCCGUAGAGCUUGAUCAUGGCUCAGUAAGUCGUAACAAGGUACCCGUAGAGUUUGAUCAUGGCUCAGUAAGUCGUAACAAGGUAACUGUAGAGUUUGAUCAUGGCUCAGUAAGUCGUAACAAGGUAUCCGUAGAGUUUGAUCAUGGCUCAGUAAGUCGUAACAAGGUAACCGUAGAGUUUGAUCAUGGCUCAGUAAGUCGUAACAAGGUAACCGCAGAGUUUGAUCAUGGCUCAGUA